rnacentral:rRNA from 1 species
AGGAUGAACGCUGGCGGCGUGCUUAACACAUGCAAGUCGAGCGAAGCAUUAAAACAGAUUUCUUCGGAUUGAAGUUUUUGUGACUGAGCGGCGGACGGGUGAGUAACGCGUGGGUGACCUGCCUCAUACAGGGGGAUAACAGACAGAAAUGUCUGCUAAUACCGCAUAAGCGCACAGUGCUGCAUGGCACAGUGUGAAAAACUCCGGUGGUAUGAGAUGGACCCGCGUCUGAUUAGCUAGUUGGUAAGGUAACGGCUUACCAAGGCGACGAUCAGUAGCCGGCCUGAGAGGGUGAACGGCCACAUUGGGACUGAGACACGGCCCAAACUCCUACGGGAGGCAGCAGUGGGGAAUAUUGCACAAUGGGGGAAACCCUGAUGCAGCGACGCCGCGUGAAGGAAGAAGUAUUUCGGUAUGUAAACUUCUAUCAGCAGGGAAGAAAAUGACGGUACCUGACUAAGAAGCCCCGGCUAACUACGUGCCAGCAGCCGCGGUAAUACGUAGGGGGCAAGCGUUAUCCGGAUUUACUGGGUGUAAAGGGAGCGUAGACGGCAUGGCAAGUCUGGUGUGAAAGGCAGGGGCUCAACCCCUGGACUGCAUUGGAAACUGUCAGGCUGGAGUGCAGGAGAAGUAAGUGGAAUUCCUAGUGUAGCGGUGAAAUGCGUAGAUAUUAGGAGGAACACCAGUUGGCGAAGGCGACUUACUGGACUGUAACUUGACGUUGAGGCUCGAAAGCGUGGGGGAGCAAACAGGAUUAGAUACCCCUGGUAGUCCACGCCGUAAACGAUGAAUACUAAGGUGUCAGGGAGCAAAGCUCUUUUGGUGCCGCAGCUAACGCAAUAAGUAUUCCACCUGGGGGAGUACGUUUCGCAAGAAUGAAA